rnacentral:tRNA from 1 species
UAAGCCGAAAUAGCUCAGUUAGGAGAGCGUUAGACUGAAUAUCUAAAGGUCCCUGGUUCGAUCCCGGGUCUUUUUUUAA